rnacentral:lncRNA from 1 species
GGCAAUAUUAUAGAAUAUGUGGUAUGCUUGUUGUCCUUCAAAUAUAGAUAUAUGAGUGCAUAGAUAAGGUUCAGACGAAUUUUGCACGGAAAAUCAGUGAUCGUAUCCCUCGAAUUCUAAACUGGCAAAUAGUAGAAGAAAAAUCUUGAUUCAAAAUAUUGAUGAAAGACACAUUCUAUGAUGGUAAUAGAGAGGUAUUGUGGAUAAUUAACGAAAGUAUACCGUUGUAAUUGUUUUCAUUUCAUGUAUAUCCUUUAUUUCAUUAAUUAUUGUGUUUAAUCUCGUGUUCAAAUUAAACCAAAGAAUAUUGUCCCUUCUCUGAUGGAAAUUGUUGUUCUAGUUGCCACCCAAAGGUGUUGAAAAUUCAUACGAAGGUGUUCAAUUAGAGCCAAAUGAUGAUAUUGAUGAACAAAGCACUUUCUGGACAGAAUUCAGACGAUGAUUUUGUCAACGAACCUCCAGCAUCAUUGAAGCUUACAGGUAAAAGAAAAAAGGGGCAAUCAGUAUCACCUGCCAAAAGGUUAAGAAUGAAGCACUCAAAUGUCGCAGAUCAAAUUGAAUGGAUUGAACAACUUGAUCCAAUAGUGAAACAAGCUGUGAAAAAAGCGGCGUUUCCAAAAGUUUUGCGGAAGAAACAUAAAUUGUGUACUAAGAAUACAACUACUCGCACUUAUGUGCCAACUAUGGAUUCUGAAAUACCAUCUGGAAGUGUGUCUCAUGAACAACUUAUGUCAACAAUGCAUAUUCUUAGUUAUAAUUGCCUCAUUUGCUUAAUCAACAUAACAAUUAUCUUCAGUCCAAUGUCCAGAAUGCAUAAUUAUAAAACUAAUGCUCCCCAUAUAUGCUUUGUAGUAAAAAAAAUAAUAAUACACAAAGUCAAUACUAAAUACAAAAAUUAAGAUGUUACCAUUAAUUUGUAUCCAGAAUACAAAACAAUAUAGUUACACUAGUAAUUCGAAUAUAUGAUUCGAACAUGAUUCCUUUUAUAAAAUUGUGAUGCAUCACAUAUGUAUUCUGUUGGAUAUACAAUAUUUUAUACAAAAAUUACAAAACAAAUUCAAAUCAGAAUUGUUUUUAUUUUUACAAUAAAUCAGUAUAUUUGUAUUCGCAAACCAAACAAAGUCAACAAACCCAGAAAAAUAAUGAUAAUUGCAUCGUUCAAAAUACAUAAAAUUCAAAACGCAAAUACAUAUGAUUAAUAAUUAUACAAAGAAAAUCGCAUCAGAUUAUAAUCAAUUACUAACAUAUAAGGAUUAAUUAACUAACAAAUACCUGACUGUAUGUAUUUUUUGACUUUUCUAUCGUGUUUCUUUUCAAAAAAGUUUUUCUCCAGUUGCUUUUUCAAAACAUAAAUCUCGCCAGAAAUUUUUUGUAAUUGAUCACCAUCAUGAAUAAUGGAUAGAGUUAUUCC